GUAAACAACAUGGCGUUUGUGCGCGGCGUAAAGACUAAAACAGUUGUUUGGAACAACUUAAAACAACAAGUCCGUUUGCGUGUUGUGCUGUGCUGGUAUUUUUAUUUUUUUAUAUAGUAAUGUAGGGCUUAUGUUACACUAAAGUGUGACAUUGGCAGUGAAACGUUUGUACAAUUUAAAGCUGCGGCUUAUGAAUUAAAAUGAUCAGAAGAAGAAGGGAGAGAGUGCGAGAUAAGACUAGUCAACAUAUUGACCAAUCGAGAGUCAUGGGGUAAGGCAGCUUAUUAGAGACAUUGGGGGCAAUUACGUGUGCCAUAUUUGUGGCAGAGCUUACAUGACAAAGAAAACAUUGAUACGACACAUUAGAUAUGAAUGUGGGCAGGAACCUCAGUUCCCAUGUCCUUACUGUCGAAUGAAGUACAAACGAAGAUAUAUAUUGAGAGCCCAUAUUAUCAAGAGACAUAAUAACUGGACAGUGUCUUACACAGCUUAAGAACUCAGAAAUAAUUAUUUUAUUGUAAAAUAAAAAAAUAACAUUUGGAGGAGAGUAACGAAUCUGCGAAAGAAAAUUAUAAUUAGUUCCAUGUUCCAUAGAUUAUCUGAAAAUGCAAAUUACUGCAUGUGCUCACUUUCAAUUGUGAAAUAUGUUUUAUGUAAGAUCAGCCUGUAGCACUUCGUAAUGCUUGUAUUGAAUGGUGAUAAUAAACUGAACUUAUGGAGCUUUGAGCAGUUCAUAAUUAUGGAUGAAUGAUUUACCUAUGUAUACAGUGGUAUUAAUAACUUACUGUAGUUGCAUUUAUUCACAGAUCAUAAGUGCUACAGGAAAAUAUAAAACUUUGUAAGAGCUGCUUAUACAAAUGUGAACAAAAAGAUGUAUUGGAGUUCUUUGAAUGAAAUUGAUACCUGUACCAUUUUGAAUUUUUUAUAGUUUAGAUGGAAUCCAAGAGAGAGAACUCAAUGCUUUUAUGUGUUGUCUGUGUGUUACUUUUUGAAGGAGAAACAUUUUUGAUAAUAUUGCCAAGAAAGAGAGGGUGGUUGGAUAGUAUUGGGUAGGGGUGGGGAUAUUUAUUAGGCUUAAUGGAAAUAAGUUAAGACACUCAAUUCUGCUUCAAAUGUGAGGAUUGUGGUAAGAACUACACUGCAAAGCAAAGUCUGACAAGACAUCUGCGCUAUGAGUGUGGAAUGGAACCUCAGUUUUCUUGCCCAUUUUGUCCAAUGAAAUAUAGGCAGAAGCAUUAUUUAAAGACUCACGUUGUCAGAGCACACAGCAACUGGACUGCACACACAAAAUAAAAACACUGGAAAAUCAGCAGACGUGUUAAUUGAAAUACAAGAGUCAUUUAAACAUGUAACUUUAUUUAAUAUUUCCUGCAAAAUGUGGUAUCUUUUUUCUAAAACAGUAAAAUAUAUACAGAGACGUCAGCUACGUUUAUAAAAUGUUCUUCAUAAAGAUAUCUGAAAAUUGAAGAUAAAGUGUGAAUUUUGUAGGUUUCUUAAAAGAUAAUUAUGAUACCGUGUUGAUUUUACUCUCUGGAUCUAUGGUUGUCUGUGUAUUAACAUAUGUAUCCAAAUAUUUGUAUUAAUAUAUAUGUAUAUCAACUAUUAUUUUAAUUUUUAUAGUGCCGUGAACUUGAUAAAUAAGCGACUGAAAUAUAUGUAGA
rnacentral:lncRNA from 1 species